rnacentral:rRNA from 1 species
AGGACGAACGCUGGCGGCGUGCUUAACACAUGCAAGUCGAGCGGAAAGGCCCUUCGGGGUACUCGAGCGGCGAACGGGUGAGUAACACGUGAGCAAUCUGCCCCUAGCUCUGGGAUAGCUCCGGGAAACCGGGAUUAAUACCAGAUACAACCACUUUAGACAUCUUUUGUGGUGGAAAGGAUUCCGGCUAGGGAUGAGCCCGCGGCCUAUCAGCUUGUUGGUGGGUGAUGGCCUACCAAGGCGACGACGGGU